AAAUUGUGAUGUGGACAGAUGUUCACCAAAUCCUUAAACCUUUCCCAGCUAUCCUGGAAAGUCUCGUCAGAUUUCUGAUUGAACUGACUAAUCUGCUCUUGUAAAUAC